rnacentral:rRNA from 1 species
UUAACCUCAAAUCAGGUAGGACUACCCGCUGAACUUAAGCAUAUC